rnacentral:rRNA from 1 species
ACAUGCCGAGAAUCCGGUGGAAACAUUGGAGUGCCCCGUAAGGGGAACUUGGACACAGGUGCUGCAUGGCUGUCGUCAGCUCGUGCCGUGAGGUGUUGGGUUAAGUCCCGCAACGAGCGCAACCCUCAUCCUUAGUUGCCAUCAUUAAGUUGGGCACCCUAAGGAAACUGCCGCAGUUAAUGCGGAGGAAGGUGGGGAUGACGUCAAGUCCUCAUGGCCCUUAUACCCAGGGCUACACACGUGCUACAAUGGACGGUACAAAGGGUCGCAAAACUGCAAAGUGGAGCUAAUCCCACAAAACCGUUCUCAGUUCGGAUUGGAGUCUGCAACCCGACUCCAUGAAGCUGGAAUCGCUAGUAAUCGCGGAUCAGCACGCCGCGGUGAAUACGUUCCCGGGCCUUGUACACACCGCCCGUCACACCACGAAAGCUUGUUGUACCAGAAGUCGUUGGGCUAACCCGUAAGGGAUGCAGAUGCCGAAGGUAUGGCAGGUAAUUGGGGUG